GCUGCUUAUUUAAUAAUUUUCAUUUGUGUAUAGAAUAAUGGAAAACAAACAAAGAAGGCUUCCAAAUUUCACUAGCACUGAGGAAAAUAUGUUAAUUACGUUGGCGGAGCGGCACGCAAAUCUUAUUGAAAAUAAAAAAACGGAUGCAGUGACCUGGGAGAAAAAGCGGAAGGCCUGGGAAACUAUCGACGUCGAAUUUGAGGCUCAAGUUGGAAUCAGGAGAGGUGCAAAAAAUUUACGCGAAAAAUAUGAGAACUUAAAGAGGAGGGCCAGAAAAUGCUUGGCGGAAGAAAAAAUGGAACUUUAUAAAACAGGAGGUGGAGUAUAUAAGCAGCGGCGGGACAUCAACACAGAAAGCCUUUCAAGAAAUCGAAUAUGUGGACGAUAUUAAUGGGGAUCUGCGCUCCGCUACCGAAACAAUCAAGGAAAGCCCGAUCAAAGACC
rnacentral:misc_RNA from 1 species